CCAGACUCUGACCUGUGCAUGGACCUCCUGGCUUGGUGGCAGAGCUGUCCUGUCACUAUGGAUCUGUCUGGCAAUCUCUGGAAUGUGUUACCCUGACCUGUGGAUGGACCACCAAGCUUGGCCUCAGACCUGUCUCAUCACCAUGAACUGGCCUGAUGCUGGGGGCUCGUGGUUGAAGCUGCCCUGCUCUGCUUGUCAGCUACUGCGGGACUGGUCCUGAUACUGCCCUCAGCUCCUGCCUCCCUGUCCUGCUGGAAGAAGACAUGGAUUAGUCAAGGCUCCCAUCGACUGGGCUUUUUUCUAAUUACAUGAAGAGUGGAUGAAGUCCUAUUAAGUUGUCUGUGACUAGAAAAAGAAUUACUGCACUGAUACUUUCAAUCCUUGCUGGCUUGUAAAAAAGGCAUUCAGAGUUUACUGAACCUCCACCUCGCACAUCAAAAAAGAAAUAGAAGAAUUCCUGCUGCUACAUUAUCAUGUGAGCAUCCAAUUCUGUCCUUCCAUACUGUGGAGACAUGCACAACAUACAGGAAAGUGUUAAAAAAUAUUUAUAAGAUGCCCAACAGGACAAAACAAAUGGACAUAGCACGAAGCUCACGUGUGAAAUGUGCUCAUCCUUGGUUCUGUCUAGCUGGAGAAGACUCAACAACCCAAGAUGCACAAGAAAGAAAAGUCUCUGGAAGAGCAGAAUGGAAUUGCAAGAUCUCAAACCAUACAAUGAGCCUCCUCAGUCUACUAACACCAGAGGCCAAGCCAGCGUCCUCAUUUGUACCCUUCAGUUUUGAUGCCUGUAACUGGGGGAAGGGAGAGAACUGAUUUGGUUUUUUUAGACACAUUUGAAAAUCAAAGAUAGUGCAACAGAAAAUAUCUCAGCAUGAUGUACAGAGCUGUUUGAGGCCUGUUUUGGUUUAGAGCAGAUCAGCUCUUUGGUCCCUGGGGCAAGCUGCACAUGCUUCAAGAGUGGCUCUGCUCUUCUGGCUGCCAUAGCCGGAACGUGACAGAGACACUCAUUUUUCCAGAAAUUCACUGCAAUGUUGAGAAUUUCUGGCCAAUAUGGAGCUAUGGACCUGCUAUGGGAGCUAUGGAAAACUUUUGAGGUUUAGCUGUGACUCCACCAUCACCACCAGCAAAGUUGCUAUUGAUGCUGGUGGAGCCGAGGGCCGGCGCCUGGGUGGGAGGAGUGGAGGCUGUAUGUAUGUCCCAGCCUGGGGCUUUGCGUUCCUUCAUUUCUAAUUGUCUGCUGCCUUCUUUUAAGACUGGUAACCUUAGACCAGAGGGAAAAAGAGGUUCAUUUUUAAGCAUGAUGAAAUUUAACUUGUAAUUGCUGUUUCCACAGCAGCCAAUUGAGAGAAGCAUGCGUGGCUAGGACAGCCCAGUUGAAUGCAGUUGGCUCGGGAGACAAAGGCUGUUCCUAAAUUAGGACUGGACCGGAGAUGGCAACAGUGGUCUGAGUUAGGAGGCUGUGCCCAUCAGGCUCUCUAUGGGGCUAUGUAUGGAGGGCCGGGAGCAGUAUGAAGGGUUGAGCUCUUCUUCAGAGGUGCCACCAUGGUCCUCCACCCACAGACCUGCUCUCUGGCA